CACGAAGUUAGCCGGGGCUUCUUCUCCGGUUACCGUCAUUAUCUUCACCGGUGAAAGAGCUUUACAACCCUAGGGCCUUCAUCACUCACGCGGCAUGGCUGGAUCAGGCUUGCGCCCAUUGUCCAAUAUUCCCCACUGCUGCCUCCCGUAGGAGUCUGGGCCGUUGUCUCAGUCCCAGUGUGGCUGAUCAUCCUCUCAGACCAGCUAUGGAUCGUCGCCUUGGUAGGCCUUUACCCCACCAACUAGCUAAUCCAACGCGGGCUCAUCCAUCUCCGAUAAAUCUUUCUCCCGAAGGACGUAUACGGUAUUAGCACACGUUUCCAUGCGUUAUUCCGUAGAGAUGGGUAGAUUCCCACGCGUUACUCACCCGUCUGCCGCUCCCCUUGCGGGGCGCGUCGACUUGCAUGUGUUAAGCCUGCCGCCAGCGUUCGUUCUGAGCCAGGAUCAAACUCU
rnacentral:rRNA from 1 species